UACAGAGGUGUCAAGCGUUGUUCGGAUUCAUUGGGCGUAAAGGGCGCGUAGGCGGCGGAGUAAGUCUGGUGUGAAAUCUCGGAGCUCAACUCCGAAAUUGCACUGGAUACUGCUCUGCUUGAGGGUUGGAGAGGAGAUCGGAAUUCACGGUGUAGCAGUGAAAUGCGUAGAUAUCGUGAGGAAGACCAGUGGCGAAGGCGGAUCUCUGGACAAAUCCUGACGCUGAGGCGCGAAGGCUAGGGGAGCAAACGGG
rnacentral:rRNA from 1 species